GUGCCCUUUUAAGGCUGACGCAGUGCCUUAAGAGGCUAAUACAGAAGGGUAAAAUAAGUCUCCAUGAAACCCAGAGAAGAGACUGUAGAACUCCUCUUGGGAUCCUUUCUGGAGUCACAGCU
ensembl:snoRNA